GUUUCCUAAAACUUACUACUACUUAUUGUUUUAUUUAAAUCCCCUGUUUAUAUAUAGAUUUAACUCAAAAUAGAGCCAAAGCCAGAUUCAAACUUUCCCUAA
rnacentral:rRNA from 1 species